rnacentral:rRNA from 1 species
UCUGGGAUAACUGCGGGAAACUGUAGCUAAUACCGGAUACUUUCCCUGGUGGGCAUCCACUGGGGAAGAAAGAAUUUCGGUCAGGGAGGAUCUCGCGGCCUAUCAGCUAGUUGGUGAGGUAACGGCUCACCAAGGCGACGACGGGUAACCGGCCUGAGAGGGUGACCGGUCACACUGGGACUGAGACACGGCCCAGACUCCUACGGGAGGCAGCAGUGGGGAAUAUUGCACAAUGGGCGCAAGCCUGAUGCAGCAACGCCGCGUGAGGGAUGAAGGCCUUCGGGUUGUAAACCUCUUUUAGCAGGGAAGAAGCGAAAGUGACGGUACCUGCAGAAAAAGCACCGGCUAACUACGUGCCAGCAGCCGCGGUAAUACGUAGGGUGCAAGCGUUGUCCGGAAUUAUUGGGCGUAAAGAGCUCGUAGGCGGUUUGUCACGUCUGCUGUGAAAAUCCAAGGCUCAACCUUGGACUUGCAGUGGGUACGGGCAGGCUAGAGUGCGGUAGGGGAGAUGGGAAUUCCUGGUGUAGCGGUGGAAUGCGCAGAUAUCAGGAGGAACACCAAUGGCUGAAGGCACAUCUCUGGGCCGUAACUGACGCUGAGGAGCGAAAGCGUGGGGAGCGAACAGGAUUAGAUACCCUGGUAGUCCACGCCGUAAACGGUGGGUGCUAGCUGUGGGCCACAUUCCACGUGGUCCGUGACGAAGUUAACACAUUAAGCACCCCGCCUGGGGAGUACGGCCGCAAGGCUAAAACUCAAAGGAAUUGACGGGGGCCCGCACAAGCGGCGGAGCAUGCGGAUUAAUUCGAUGCAACGCGAAGAACCUUACCAAGGCUUGACAUAUAGAGGAAAAGUGCAGAAAUGCACUCCCCGCAAGGUCUCUAUACAGGUGGUGCAUGGUUGUCGUCAGCUCGUGUCGUGAGAUGUUGGGUUAAGUCCCGCAACGAGCGCAACCCUCGUCCUAUGUUGCCAGCACGUAAUGGUGGGAACUCAUGGGAUACUGCCGGGGUCAACUCGGAGGAAGGUGGGGAUGACGUCAAAUCAUCAUGCCCCUUAUGUCUUGGGCUUCACGCAUGCUACAAUGGCCGGUACAGAGGGCUGCAAUACCGCAAGGUGGAGCGAAUCCCAAAAAGCCGGUCUCAGUUCGGAUUGAGGUCUGCAACUCGACCUCAUGAAGUCGGAGUCGCUAGUAAUCGUAGAUCAGCAACGCUACGGUGAAUACGUUCCCGGGCCUUGU